CCCCUCUCAGGGUUGUACCUGGAGAGUUUCCAGUACUCUGUCAGUCUUGGGUAUGGGAGGGAGAAUCAAGCAGAGGCUUACCCAUUCCACUCCUAGCUUGGGCAGUGGCUUGUGAGUGGAGGCAUUCUGCUACAAGU